CUAGUAUUGGUCACUUGGAAAUGUUCUAAGAAAACCUCACUAAUUUGUAAAACUAAUGUGCACUCCUACUUCCUUUUCACGUUUCAGCAGGAGCAUGCUGACCUGUGUGGACAGCCUUCAUAUAGGACCAAGACCAGUGCCCUUGCUCUGCAGAGCUGAUCAAGAGGCUCCACUUGUUUGAUGAAUCAAAUCCCAACUGACACUGAAGACCGUGAUCCUGUAUUGUCUAACUGUCCUCUAGCAUGUUUCCAAGAGGGCUUGUGUUCCCCUCUCAAGACCCCCGUCUGCCUUCAUUGUUGUAUUUUCUCCCACCUGGACCAUCCUUCAUCUUUCUCCAUCAUAGUUGAAAACCUUUAUUACCCUUACGUUUCAGCUCAAAGCUCCAUCCUGCUUUCCUGUCUGUACUGCUCUCCUGCCUCUGGCUGCUCCCCUCCCGCUUUGAUGUUCUGUAGUUCCAUUGGCCACCUCAGAUACCAUGACAAAGAGCAGAGUCAUUUGUGUCGACCGCAGAUGAGGGUGAGCUACUGUGCCAGAUGUUGGCUUAAAGGGCUGGAGGCAUUGGAAAGAAUGAGAUAACCUACACUGUUCAAGCUCUUGGAGAAGAGCUUGUGUUCCCUCAGUGUAGGACAGAGACGCUCUGGAAAAGUGUUUACCAAGGACACUUGACGACUUCUGACAAAUACAAUCGAUCUUUAACACUAAAGAAUCACUUCAGUCAUCUAAAAGCUUUGUAAAGCCAGGAAUUCUGCCACAUAACUUUGUGGCUCUUCUCCCUGCCUGGUACCUAUGACUGCAGCCUAAUGAAGGCGUGGGUUUGAGGGUUGAGGGGUAGAAGAAAUGAGUCUAAAUGCAAGUCCUUUGAGAGCUGAUCUGAAUUUCCUUAUCAUUGAAAUGGGGGAGGGCAUGUACUUACAUCACAGGUUAUUGAGAAGAUUGAGUGAGACAAUGUAUAGCUCGCACAGUAUCUAGCACGUAGUAGGAAGUUAGUGUUAACCCACGUUUAUAUCCUCUAAAAUACCUAUAAUUCAAGUGGCUGGCAUCAGUCUAAUGCCUUUAGUGACUGGACAUCAGGGUGGCCACUGCAGGUUAACUUCAUUAUCCCAGUGAUCUCGUCACUAGUAUUGCCUUCUCUCUUUAUGACAUAGCUGGGUUUUCUAUGUUACAUGGCUACUAUGGCGGCUAUGGAAACUGCUUUACAACUUCAAAGAGCAGAAUGUCUGAGGACAGCAUUCAUGGGCAGCUCUAGCCCAGCCCAGCAUUGAUGCUCACUAGACAUGCGACUUGGCUUGACUUGCAACAGAAGCCAUUUUGGACUGCCGUACCUAAAACUGUGAACAAGAUAGCUUGUAAAUAACAGCAAUUUUAUUUCUUAUAAUUCUAGAAUCUCAGUAGUCCAAACAGAACAUACUGCCAGAUGUGCAUGCUGGUGCAAUCCUGUUCUCCACUUCAAAAUGGCGCCUUUAAACUAACGUGGUGGAAAGGACACAGGAAGUUCAAAGACACUUUCAUCAGAGUUUGAGAGGAAAGAGGAAAAGAGCAGGCAAGCUGUAAACCUCAGCACGUGUUGGGAUGAAGGAACUGGAAAGAAAGAGAGGCACUCAAGUCCUUUGGGGUUAAUCUGAUGUUCUGGUCUCCAGCCACUACACUCUUGCCACACGAUAAGGCCACCAUCACAUGUCUGUGGCAUGAAUAAACAGGUCCUGGCACAGAGGAUGGUACACAGCUGGGUAAGCACCUCGCGCUUCCUUGUUACCUGGUAUGUGUGGAAAGAAGACAAUCCCAAUCCAGGCUUUUGUGAGGAGUCUGUCACCCUUGCCUUAAGGCCAGCAGCUGCAGGAGCUGGAAGGUAAAGAGCCUUCCUGGGCUGUGUCCCAGAGCACUCAGGAGAGAGAGGGACCCUAUGGCUCCUGAUUACGGUUCUUAGCUGUAAUCAUCCAAUUACACCCUUUUAUGUUCUAUUUUACAGCAUCUGAAAGGGCCCCGGGGAGGGGAGGGCUGUAUCUGGAUAUCUAAUAGCUACUUUAACCUGGAGGUAAGCUGCUAAAAAUAGUCACACUAUCUGUGGGCGGGUUUCCAGGAAAUGCUUGCCUUUAGAGCAGGGCAUCAUUCUGCCAGUCAAGCUCUCGUC
rnacentral:sRNA from 1 species